UACGACGGGGGCUAGCGUUGCUCGGAAUCACUGGGCGUAAAGCGCACGUAGGCGGCUUCUUAAGUCAGGGGUGAAAUCCUGGAGCUCAACUCCAGAACUGCCUUUGAUACUGAGAAGCUUGAGUCCGGGAGAGGUGAGUGGAACUGCGAGUGUAGAGGUGAAAUUCGUAGAUAUUCGCAAGAACACCAGUGGCGAAGGCGGCUCACUGGACCGGCAUUGACGCUGAGGUGCGAAAGCGUGGGGAGCAAACAGG
rnacentral:rRNA from 1 species